CGCUAUGAGAUCGGCCCGCGGCCCAUUAGCUAGUUGGCGGGGUAACGGCCCACCAAGGCGACGAUGGGUAGCUGGUCUGAGAGGAUGAUCAGCCACACUGGAACUGAGACACGGUCCAGACUCCUACGGGAGGCAGCAGUGGGGAAUUUUG
rnacentral:rRNA from 1 species